rnacentral:lncRNA from 1 species
GUCAAAAUAUGUCCGAUCUGCCUAUUUCUGCACAUCAAAAGUCAAUACGAUCGUUUUAAAGUCAAUUUCGUCUACCUCACAAAAUCUUGUUAGGCACUUAUAAUACUGAUUUUUUAAAGUCAAACCUUGGGCUGUGAAUAGACCGUAUUUUUUAUUUAUUGCACAAAGAUCACAUGGAGACAACGACAACUGACAAGGUCCAACAGAGGGUGAAACUUUUAAUAGCUUUAUGGUACUGAACCCUGUCAUUAAUAGGUACAAAACCAUGUACUUACUAUUAAGUCAGUGGGGAAAACUCAAUGAUAAACACAACAAAUGUGUACCAACAAACAUAGACGACAUUCUUAUUUUGAAAUUUCAUGUAUUGAAGAGGAUGUGAUAAGGAGCACUAUCUGUGACAACAAUAUUAUGGAAUAACCAUGUAAGAAUAUGAAUACCGACUGAUGAAACAAUUACGGAGAAUAGCUUUGGAUACAAAAAAUAAAAAAAAAAACAGCUUUAACCAAAAGUAGUUAAUUGAAACCAACAAAAAUUCGGAGACAAAGUAUCUAAAAUAAAAAAAACUGUCCGCCAUUAAAUUAAAUAUGAAUAAUUUAUUUGUAACUAUAAAAAACUCUCAUAACGAACAUGUGGCAUCCGUUAUCCUAAGGAAUUAACAAUGUAACGCUUCUCAAGCAUAAUUAGUCGAUAACCUUAUAACAGAAAUGAUACUUUUAGUUUUGAAUCAAUAUUAUUUAUAGAACUAUGAAAUAGAGGUAGAUAUAUACCUAGACCGCGCACAUGCUAAUAAUGAUAAUAGUAUACAUGUUGUCUUAUUCUAUUGGUAACCAGAUGUCCAUCAAAAUUGAUGAAAAGUAAGUG